AUAUGAAUCAUGAUAGCUUCUAGAUGACCCUGAAGUUUCUGGAAAGAAAACUCUCUCAUCCACACCCUCUCUUAUUCCUUGAACAUGCCUCCUUUAACAAGAAUCAAUGUAACAGCUAUUGCAAUUUAAGACCAUGAUCAGAAGAGAAGAGAGUAAAUUUCUUGGUUUUCUACAUACCUAUAGUCCUUUUCAUCAUGAGAAUAAGAUCCAGAGUCCAAAAACAGGUGAUGAGUAGUGGAAUCUUGUUGAGUUUG